UACGUAGGGGGCAAGCGUUGUCCGGAUUUAUUGGGCGUAAAGAGCGUGUAGGCGGCCAUGCAGGUCCGUUGUGAAAACUCGAGGCUCAACCUCGAGACGUCGAUGGAAACCAUCUGGCUAGAGUCCGGAAGAGGAGAGUGGAAUUCCUGGUGUAGCGGUGAAAUGCGCAGAUAUCAGGAAGAACACCCGUGGCGAAGGCGGCUCUCUGGGACGGUACUGACGCUGAGAUGCGAAAGCGUGGGGAGCAAACAGG
rnacentral:rRNA from 1 species